rnacentral:lncRNA from 1 species
CUUAUCUUUGAUGUGCUUGCUGCAUUGGGAAAAAUCUGUUUUCACCUUGUUUUUUUUCGUACCAGGGAUCGAACUCAGGACCUUGCGCUUGUGAAGCAGGCACUGGAACCACUGAGCUAAAUCCCCGGCUUCACCUUGUUUCUGAAGAGUGAUGUUUACGUGGUUUUCAAGGCCCAGUUCAAGAUGGCUCUGUUCCAUAAAGCACGCAGUAGGGGAAUUGUGUCAGAACAGAAGACCGCAGAAGCCUGGUAAUUGGUCCGCAUUCCUUUGCAGUAAUGGGGCUC